GGCAUCGUUACGUGGCUAUACUUUCCCCCACAUGCCUCCACUCCACUCCCUUAUUUCACCACUAAACCCAUUCUCCACUCUCAAUCUUGUGUCUCUCACUCACAAUGGCUGAUCAGAAGCAGAAGCUCAACGGCGGCCUCGCCGGACGGUCCUUGGUGGAGGUGACUCCCAACCCAAGUAACGGCCUUCUAUCCAAGGCCACCGAUUUGUUGGAGAAGCUGUUUGUCAAGCUUAUGUUUGAUUCUUCCAAGCCUCAGCAUUAUCUUUCCGGUAAUUUUGCUCCCGUUCAUGAUGAGACUCCUCCGAUUACUGAUCUCCCUGUUAAAGGUUAUCUUCCGGAAUGCUUAAAUGGAGAGUUUGUUAGGGUGGGACCAAAUCCGAAGUUUAGCCCAGUUGCUGGUUACCACUGGUUUGAUGGAGAUGGCAUGAUCCAUGGAUUGCGCAUUAAAGAUGGAAAAGCAUCAUAUGUUUCCCGUUAUGUGCAGACAUCAAGACUUAAACAAGAAGAAUAUUUUGGAGCUUCUAAAUUCAUGAAGAUUGGUGAUCUUAAAGGGUUCUUUGGGUUAAUAAUGGUUAACAUGCAAUUGCUGAGAGCAAAGUUAAAGGUGUUGGAUGUUUCAUAUGGUACUGGGACAGGUAACACAGCUCUCAUAUAUCACCAUGGAAAGCUUCUAGCACUUUCGGAGGGAGAUAAACCUUAUGUUAUAAAAGUGUUGGAAGAUGGAGAUCUGCAGACGCUUGGUCUGCUGGAUUAUGACAAGAGAUUAAAGCACACCUUCACUGCUCAUCCAAAGGUUGAUCCAGUCACUGGCGAAAUGUUUACAUUUGGCUAUUCUCAUUCACCACCAUACGUUACAUACAGAGUUAUUUCCAAGGACGGUCUCAUGCAUGACCCCGUACCAAUCACAAUUCCAGCUCCUGUCAUGAUGCAUGACUUCGCAAUUACAGAAAAUUAUGCAAUAUUUAUGGAUCUUCCUUUAUAUUUUAAACCCAAGGAAAUGGUGAAAGAAAAUAAGUUAAUUUUCACAUUUGAUGCUACAAAAAAAGCUAGGUUUGGUGUGCUACCAAGAUAUGCAAAAGAUGACUUGCUUAUCCGAUGGUUUGAGCUUCCUAAUUGUUUUAUAUUUCAUAAUGCUAAUGCUUGGGAGGAAGAAGAUGAACUAGUUUUGAUUACUUGCCGUCUUGAGAAUCCCGACUUGGACAUGGUCAGUGGGUCUGUUAAAGAGAAGCUCGAGAACUUCUCUAAUGAGCUGUAUGAGAUGAGAUUCAAUCUUAAAUCUGGUUUAGCUUCACAGAGGAAACUCUCAGAAUCUGCUGUAGAUUUUCCUAGAGUGAAUGAAUCCUACACUGGCAGGAAACAACAAUAUGUGUAUGGCACUACGCUGGACAGCAUUGCAAAAGUCACAGGGAUCGCUAAAUUUGAUCUUCAUGCUGAACCUGAAACUGGAAAGACGAAGAUUGAAGUUGGAGGAAAUGUUCAGGGCCUCUAUGACCUUGGACCUGGUAGAUUUGGUUCAGAAGCUAUCUUUGUUCCCCGCGUACCUGGCACCACUUCAGAAGAAGAUGAUGGCUACUUGAUAUUAUUCGUACAUGAUGAGAAUACUGGAAAAUCCGCAGUGAAUGUUGUAGAUGCAAAAACUAUGUCAUCUGAGCCUGUAGCAGUUGUUGAAUUGCCACACAGAGUUCCAUAUGGGUUUCAUGCCUUCUUUGUUACAGAGGAGCAACUUCAAGAACAAGGAAGGCUUUAACUGUACAGUUAUUUUUCAUGACAAAAAUGUCAUAGAAGACCUGAAGAAGACAAACAAACAAAUGUUAGCAUUGGGAGACAUGGGAAAUGAGGAUUUUUGCUAGAGACUUUUUUGAACGAAGAACUGCCAGCCUUAUCAGCUAAUUAUUUGACAUUUGAAUUUUAGUAGCAUUAUGAUAUGAACUGCCAAAGUGCCAGCCAUAUCAAAUAUUUGCUUGUACUAGCUUCUGGGUCCAAAUUGUACUUUUGGUUCAGUUUGUGAUUGUUAUCGUGACUAUGGACUUUUUUUAACAAAAAAAGUAUUAUUAUAGUUUU